rnacentral:rRNA from 1 species
AUACGUAGGGUGCGAGCGUUGUCCGGAAUUACUGGGCGUAAAGAGCUCGUAGGUGGUUUGUCGCGUCGUCUGUGAACUUCCGGGGCUUAACUCCGGGCGCGCAGGCGAUACGGGCAUAACUUGAGUACUGUAGGGGAGACCGGACUUCCUGGUGUAGCGGUGAACUGCGCAGAUAUCAGGAGGAACACCGGUGGCGAAGGCGGGUCUCUGGGCAGUAACUGACGCUGAGGAGCGAAAGCAUGGGUAGCGAACAUGAUUAGAUACCCUGGUAGUCCAUGCCGUAAACGGUGGGCGCUAGGUGUAGGGGUCUUCCACGACUUCUGUGCCGUAGCUAACGCAUUAAGCGCCCCGCCUGGGGAGUACGGCCGCAAGGCUAAAACUCAAAGGAAUCGACGGGG